AUUGUCAAAGACAUACGCCAGAAAAAGAAGAAGAAAAAGUAAUCGUUGGUUGAGGUUAAAUGUAUAACGCCAAAAAAUUUGAAAUUUUUUGAGUGAAAAGUGAAGUGGUUUUUUGAAUUGGAAUGGAAAGAACAUUUCUACGGAUUCCUACAGUUAUGGUGUACAGCUAACUGUUGGAUUUGUUCAAAUUAACAUCUUGGAAUCUUGUUGUUUAAUCUGGUGUUCCGUCUACCUUGGCUUUUUGGAACUUUAAUUACAUAAACAGGUUGUGGUCUCCAGCUGCUGAUUUGGCAACAUUAUUUCCCUGCCAUCUGCGUUUAAGUUCAAUAAGAAACAGG
rnacentral:lncRNA from 1 species